AACGAACGCUGGCGGCAGGCCUAACACAUGCAAGUCGAGCGAAGCCUUCGGGCUUAGCGGCGGACGGGUGAGUAACGCGUGGGAACGUGCCCUUUGGUACGGAAUAGCCCCGGGAAACUGGGAGUAAUACCGUAUGUGCCCUUCGGGGGAAAGAUUUAUCGCCAAAGGAUCGGCCCGCGUUGGAUUAGGUAGUUGGUGGGGUAAUGGCCUACCAAGCCGACGAUCCAUAGCUGGUUUGAGAGGAUGAUCAGCCACACUGGGACUGAGACACGGCCCAGACUCCUACGGGAGGCAGCAGUGGGGAAUCUUAGACAAUGGGGGAAACCCUGAUCUAGCCAUGCCGCGUGAUCGAUGAAGGCCUUAGGGUUGUAAAGAUCUUUCAGUGGGGAAGAUGAUGACUGUACCCACAGAAGAAGCCCCGGCUAACUCCGUGCCAGCCGCCGCGGUAAGAC
rnacentral:rRNA from 1 species